UGGAUUAAAAAUAUCUAUGUAUGUGUGUGUGUGUGUGUAUGUGUAUAUACACACACACACACACACACAUAUAUAUA
rnacentral:miRNA from 1 species